CAACCCCAGGUCAGGCGGGGCUACCCGCUGAGUUUAAGCAUAUCA
rnacentral:rRNA from 1 species